rnacentral:rRNA from 1 species
AGAGGUCCUACCUGCCCAGUGAUUUUAUUAAACGGCCGCGGUAUUUUGACCGUGCAAAGGUAGCGCAAUCACUUGUUUUUUAAAUAAAGACCUGUAUGAAUGGUGAAACGAGGGCUUAACUGUCUCCCUUUUCUGAUCAGUGAAAUUGAUCUACCCGUGCAGAAGCGGGUAUAAGAAUACAAGACGAGAAGACCCUAUGGAGCUUAAGACACAAAAUCAACUAUGUUAAAAACCCUUAUUAAAAGAAUAAAACAAAACAGCAACUGAUUAGCGUCUUCGGUUGGGGCGACCACGGGGGAAAACCAAUCCCCCACGUGGAACGGGAUUACUCCUAAAACCAUGAGGGACACCUCUAAGUCACAGAACCUCUGACCAAAUGAUCCGGUAAAUAACCGAUCAACGAACCAAGUUACCCUAGGGAUAACAGCGCAAUCCCCUUCAAGAGUUCAUAUCGACAAGGGGGUUUACGACCUCGAUGUUGGAUCAGGACAUCCUAAUGGUGCAGCCGCUAUUAAGGGUUCGUUUGUUCAACGAUUAAAGUCCUACGUGAUC